rnacentral:rRNA from 1 species
AGCGAACGUUUGCGGCGGGCCUAACACAUGCAAGUCGAACGCACUAGCAAUAGUGAGUGGCGCACGGGUGCGUAACACGUGGGUAAUCAACCCUUCAGCUUGGGAUAACGACUUGAAAGGGUCGCUAAUACCGGAUACGGCGCGGGAGGCUUCGGCUUCUCACGAGAAAGCCUCGCAAGGGGCACUGAAGGACGAGCCUGCGGCCCAUCAGCUAGUUGGUGAGGUAAGAGCUCACCAAGGCGAAGACGGGUAGCUGGUCUGAGAGGAUGAUCAGCCACACUGGAACUGAGACACGGUCCAGACUCCUACGGGAGGCAGCAGUGGGGAAUAUUGCGCAAUGGGCGAAAGCCUGACGCAGCCACGCCGCGUGAGCGAUGAAGGCCUUCGGGUCGUAAAGCUCUAUGGGGAGAGACGAAGAAAGACCCGUGAAGAGCGGGCCGUUGACGGUAUCUCCUUAGCAAGCACCGGCUAACUCCGUGCCAGCAGCCGCGGUAAU